UCUCUCUCGCAAUCCACCAGAUCCGCGCCGCCGCCUCUUCUCCCGCCCCCUUCACCUCCUCGGCCUCCUCGCCGCCCCCUCCGCACGACGCCACUGCCACCACCUUCGCGGUGGCUCCCCAGACGCUGCCGCAGCCGCGGAUCCCCACGGGCGUGGCCAUCGCCGCCGCGUAUCCCCACGGCUCUGUCUCCCAUUAACCACGCCUAGCCAUCCAUCGUUCGCCUAGCUACAAUUAUCUGCCCCAAAACAGAUCAACGGGCUAGGUCAAAUCGAGAGGAAAGGAGACAGAGGUGACUCCCACGAGCCGGCACACGCGGUGGCGAACAGGACGACGGGGCGGGGCGGGAGGCGGGGAAAGCCGUCCAUGGCGAUCCUGGCGGCGUUGCUAAUGGCGCUGGUGGCGCUGCUGCUCCUCAUGGUGCUCAACAUGCUCUCUAUGCCAGGCUCCGACGGUGUGGAUCGCGGCGCCACCCUGUCGCUCCCACACACGCGCUUUAGCAGAUCCGCAUUCGAGUCGUGCAUACCUUUAGCCGCCUACCCUCCAAUGUCCACGACUCUGAUCUACAGUGUUCAUUUGUCGUGUAUGCUGCCCCGUUGACUGGUGUCUGUUCUCCGUAUCAUUGUGCAGGAGGCUGGAGAAGAGCAGGGAGAAAGGGGAGUCAUGGACGGAGGUUCUGAUGUAUCAACAUCUUCUCCGAUGCGGGCUGGGAGAUCUCAAGAUUAUUAUCAAGGAUUUUGGGCAAUUAUUGAUUUCCAGAUAAGAACUUGUUGUAAAAUUGACCCAAGUAUUGUAGUUCAGUCUCAAGAAGGCCGAUUGAGGUUUAGUUAUGAUGUGACAAUUUCCACAGGAUGCUGAUGUGCACGUGGGCUUUCCUAGCUAAGUUGGGGCUCAAAAUCAAGUAUUCGGGCACAUGGGCUUGAGACAAGGAAGCACGUCCUUAUUUAAUGGAGAAUGGUUUGGUCCGGGCAUGGUUGGUGAUUCCCAGGGUUGCCGGUCUCCAUCUCUGCUGUCCAAUGAUUCUUUUAUUACAGUUGAAGGCGCAUGUGAUUGGUGUGCAAGCCAGACCUGUGGGACGACCAACAGAACAUCCUUGAGAAGACGAUGGCACCCAUCAUGCAAUCGUUCCAUGGGAUUGUGACCUGCAUUGAGAUUUCAGUGCUCUGCGCUUCGCCAGACUGAGAUCAAAAAGACCCCCAUUGUAUCAAUUUACAUUCGUAACAUUUUAUUAUGUCAAUUUGUUGAUUGUUCACAAUGACACUGGAUAUUCUAACAGUUGCUCAGCCUC